GAUGAACGCUGGCGGCGUGCCUAAUACAUGCAAGUCGAGCGAACGGACGAGAAGCUUGCUUCUCUGAUGUUAGCGGCGGACGGGUGAGUAACACGUGGAUAACCUACCUAUAAGACUGGGAUAACUUCGGGAAACCGGAGCUAAUACCGGAUAAUAUUUUGAACCGCAUGGUUCAAAAGUGAAAGACGGUCUUGCUGUCACUUAUAGAUGGAUCCGCGCUGCAUUAGCUAGUUGGUAAGGUAACGGCUUACCAAGGCAACGAUGCAUAGCCGACCUGAGAGGGUGAUCGGCCACACUGGAACUGAGACACGGUCCAGACUCCUACGGGAGGCAGCAGUAGGGAAUCUUCCGCAAUGGGCGAAAGCCUGACGGAGCAACGCCGCGUGAGUGAUGAAGGUCCUCGGAUCGUAAAACUCUGUUAUUAGGGAAGAACAGAUGUGUAAGUAACUGUGCACAUCUUGACGGUACCUAAUCAGAAAGCCACGGCUAACUACGUG
rnacentral:rRNA from 1 species